rnacentral:rRNA from 1 species
GUGGGGAAUAUUGCACAAUGGGCGCAAGCCUGAUGCAGCAACGCCGCGUGCGGGAUGACGGCCUUCGGGUUGUAAACCGCUUUCAGCAGGGACGAAGCGAAAGUGACGGUACCUGCAAAAGAAGCACCGGCUAACUACGUGCCAGCAGCCGCGGUGAUACGUAGGGUGCGAGCGUUGUCCGGAUUUAUUGGGCGUAAAGAGCUUGUAGGCGGUCAGUCGCGUCGUAAGUGCAAACUCAGGGCUUAACCCUGAGCCUGCUUUCGAUACGGGCCGACUAGAGGAAGGUAGGGGAGAAUGGAAUUCCCGGUGGAGCGGUGGAAUGCGCAGAUAUCGGGAGGAACACCAGUGGCGAAGGCGGUUCUCUGGACCUUUCCUGACGCUGAGAAGCGAAAGCGUGGGGAGCAAACAGGCUUAGAAACCCUAGUAGUCC